GUAGUUGACUCCUGGCUACGAGGACACGCUGGCGGCGUGCUUAACACAUGCAAGUCGAACGGAAAGGCCCUGCGUUUUGUGGGGUGCUCGAGUGGCGAACGGGUGAGGUAACACGUGAGUAACCUGCCCUUGACUUUGGGAUAACUUCAGGAAACUGGGGCUAAUACCGGAUAGGAGCUCCUGCUGCAUGGUCGGGGGUUGGAAAGGUUUCGGCGGUUGGGGAUGGACUCGCGGCUUAUCAGCUUGUUGGUGGGGUAGUGGCUUACCAAGGCUUUGACGGGUAGCCGGCCUGAGAGGGUGACCGGCCACAUUGGGACUGAGAUACGGCCCAGACUCCUACGGGAGGCAGCAGUGGGGAAUAGUUGCACAAUGGGGCGGAAGCCUGAUGCAGCAACGCCGCGUGCGGGAUGACGGCCUUCGGGUUGUAAACCGCUUUCGCCUGUGACGAAGCGUGAGUGACGGUAAUGGGUAAAGAAGCACCGGCUAACUACGUG
rnacentral:rRNA from 1 species